rnacentral:lncRNA from 1 species
CUAAAUUUGGGAAUUAUACUGAGAUUUUCCAUUUGUCAAAAAUGAGGAGUACUAAUCAGUAGUGCUAUGGAAACAAGACACUAACAGUUAUAGUCCGGAAGAAGAGAUGAUAACAUCUGUCCCUAAAAAGAGGAUUCUACCAGCCUGGAUCCUAUGCCUGCCAAGGGCAAGUGGAGCUGGAAGGGAUGUGUGAGCAAGCAAGCAUCAGGUCCGGCCACUGCACAUAGCUGCUGGCUGCAGUGGGGUGGGCAGCUCCAGUCUCCAGCACAAGAGCCAGCUCCUUGCGAGGCUACAGCUGGACCAGACAUCCCACAAGCAGCUUCCACAGAUGGCACUAGGGAAUGCAGUGGCACCCAGAAGCUUGAAGGCACCAGGAACCACAGAGCCCCAAAGAGGGUGUCACAGUCCUGGCUUGGGGAACUCCUAGAUCUGGGCUCCCUGAAGGACUGCAGCUCUUCUCUCCUUCUUGUCACCCACAACAUGACUUUGCACCACAGAAUGUCCAGGAUAUAUCAGGAAGGAGCAAUGAGAAAUCCAUAGGAUGAGCCACACAGAAUAAGAGCUGAGUAUAUUGACUGACCUAUAGGAUUAUGCAAAGUCAAAAUUCAGUUCUUCAUAUACAGAAAAGGGAAAUUACCCUGAGAAGGUAAUAGCUGAAUUGAAUAUAUAAGAAAGAAAGUUAAAAGUGGCGGGGAAGAUAAAAUAAGGAGGAAGCAUUCAGGCAUAAGAGCAGCCCUAAUAUAGCUCUUAUAGCCUCAUCAAAUGGUCGGUGAGAUCUGAGCACUGAAAGCAGCAGGAAGAAAGGAGAAACAUUCAGCUACAGAGGUAAGUAGAAUCAGCCUUGAAGGCCUUCUGUGUAGGCCCUGUCAAAUAUUUUUGUUUUAUGAGUAAUGGCACAUAUGUAGGUUUUGUAGCAAAAGGUGACAUAUCUAAACGUACAUUCCAUAAAAUACUGUGGUUUCAGAGUGAAGAAGAGGUUUAAUGGUGCAAUAUUGGAUAUGGGGAGAAUGGUUGGGGAUUAUUGCAGCAGACAGCAGACCACACAGCAGGACCAGGGCAAUAGAAGUGGAGAUAGAGAGAAGACUGACUUAAGAAAUGCUUAGGAAAUAAAGUCAAUUUACAGUACUGAACUCCAUGUUGGAGCAAAGGAGAAAGCAAUGUCACAAAUAAUUCCUGAUUUUCUGGCUUGGAUGUUGAUGCUAGAAACACUAAAAAAAAAAAAAAAAAAAUUAAUUGAAGUGAAGGGGGUCAAUAUGAGUUUAGGGGUGUUGACUUGUAGGUAACUUUGAGACAUCCAAAUAGGGAAUAUUGAAAUCCUAGCUGGACGAAAGUUUUUGAGUCCAGAAAUUUCAAAACUGUAAAUAUAAAUUUUGGAGUUAUUUGUAUAUAUGCAUAUAUAAUAUAAUAGAAUUAUUGAAUUUUCAGACCUAUUUUAAUUUGAUUAUCAUUUUGCCAUGUUGUGAGAAGUUUUUCAAUAGAAAUUGGCUGAUCCAAUGCAUUCGUUCACUGAGAGAGCCAGGAAUUGGACUGAUUCACAGAUGGGGUUGACUGGAUGAAUGUGACAAAGUAGCAAAAGGACCAGGUAAUUGAAAGCAUUAUCAAGAGUGUGUUGACAUAUGAACAGUAGACUCUAACUAAAUAUAGAGAUAUUUGAGGACACAGAAGAAGGAAAACAUGAAAGGUGGUCAGCAGACAUAAGAUGUCAAUGAGAUUACAUGUAGAAGUAGCUGAAAAGGGAGAAUUUUGAGAUCAGAAUGUGAUGUGAUUUAAUUACUGGUUGAAGUUGGGAUACUUACAGGUGCAGCGAUGUACUCAACCAAAAUAAAUGAGAUGGUAGAGUGGAAAAGAAACUCAUUGGCAGUGAGGUCAAGGAGCUGAAGAGGUUGCAUGUUGAGAGUUCAUGCCCCAAAAUGAAUAAUACGAAGGAAAGAUAAAAAGAUGGAGAAAUAAAGACACAAUAGUUCACAUGCUUUAGAAUAUUGAGGAAUCAAUAACGUAUGCUAUUGCAGUAGCUUUAAAGAGAUUAUCAUUAUAAAUGCUUUGGGUUCCCUCAGUUUUGAAUUUAAACAACAAAUAUUUGUACAUCAGAAUCUAGUGCUUUUGAAUAUUUUACAUUCCAGCUGACAUUACGCUCCUUUCUCCCAUUACCCGUUUACCCAUGCCACCCCCCCGACACACCAGAAAAUAUAGCAAAUAAAAAUAUGAUUUUGACAGUUCUGUCAUUAGGAAUCAAUGAAGACAGUCACAAGAUAUUUCCUAGUAAGCUCUUGGACAGAGAAAGGAAAUGUAAUUAAGAUGUUGACUAAUUUAAUGACGUCUAUUCUCCAGAGCAUAUCCACUUUUACCGCUGUUGCUAUUUCCAGAUCCUAUUUUCCAGCCAGUGAUUUUUUUCAUGAGUUGUGAUAUUCACUUGAAACCUUAAUCAUUCUCAAAGAUCCAGCUCUAAAAUGGAAAUUAGGGCUUUUCCCUCCAUCUGAAACUCACUUGAAAGAACUAAAGCUGCUGUGUCAACUGCUUUCAAGAAUUAUAGAGGGCAAAGCAAGGGAAGAGCUUAAGAAUAAUGUAAAAGAUUUUUAUUCUAAAACACUGAUUACCUAGACUCUUCCUGUGGAAAUUUAAAUGCUGAAUUUUCAGAUCCUAGAUUGAAAUGAGAGCGAGAUACACAAUAUGGCCUUGGUAAGAAUAUCUAAUAAGGACUCUGCCAUCAUAAAAUGAAAUGUUGGUGGCAUCCAAAUAAUGCACUACAAAUUAAGUGGGAAGCAACAUUUUUAUGCCUAAAACUCAAAUUUAAAGGGUUCUAUUAAUUAAGGUACAAUUUGUGGUGAACGAUAUUUCAAUAAACUUGAUUGUUAAAUUCUAUUUUUAUCUAAUACUAUCUAUACACUUUUAUCUUUGUCCCUGGCUUUUUAAACAUAAUCCUUAUUCAGUCUCUAAUUGCAUCCUCAGCUUCGUCUCUACUGGUCUCCUGGCUCUAUCAUUGUCCCUAUGCAGCCUAUUUUAUAAGAUUCUCCAAAAUGUCUCCUCAUUUUUGCAAAUGCUUUUCUUCCUCAGAAUAAAGUAAGGUGCAGUGGUUGAUCCCAUCCCACCAUUGAUUUCCAAGCUAUGGUAGGCAGAAUAAUGCCCUUGCCCCUGUAGAAGUUUAUAUGAUAAUCCAGGACCCUGUGAAUAUGUUAUGUUACAUGACAAAGGGGAAUUAAGUUUGGAAUUGGAAUUAAUUUGCUAUUCAGUUUUCCUUAAAAUAAAGAAUUUACUCUGGAUUAUCCAGGUGGAUCCAAUGUAGUGGCAAGAGUCCAUAAAAGUGAAAGGAGACAGAAGAGGGCUCAGGGCCAUAUAUAUUUAAAUGUGCUAUACUGCUAGAUUUGAAGAUGGAGGAAAGGCUUUGAACCAAGAAAUGCUGGUGGCCUCCAGAAGCUAAAAAAGGCAAAGAAAAGAUUCUCUGCUGGACUUCCUAGAAGGAAUGCAACUCUAAUGACACCCUGACCUUUACCCAGCAAGACUGAGUUUGACUUCUGACCUGUAGAACAAUGAUAUAAUAAUGUGUAUUGUUUUAAGCCACUAAGUUUGUGAAAAUUUAUUACAGCAACAAAAGAAAACUAAUACACAAGCCUGUACUUAUAUGUCUGUCAGCAAUUUUCUGCCUCGGGAUCCUCAUCUUCAUUAAUAACUUGCUGCAGUUUUUAAUUCACAUCAGUGACCAAGAUUGUUAGCAAAUCCACUUGAGUUGGUGUACUGCACAGUAGUUACAGUUUUCCAUUACUCAGAGGAAAUAGAAAAAAAAAAGUUCUCCUGAAAGGGAGCACUAGAAAAGCCAGCAUUAGAAAUUAUUAGAGAAGGAUCACUUCCCUUGACUUCUGCCCACGUCAUUCAUAUUGUCUGAAGGACUGUUUGUCCCCAUUUCCAGAUUUUCUUCUCUCAUUGCUAACCAUAUCCAUUUGGAGUCAAAUUCAUUUGAUUAUACCUUUAUUAUCGCCCCAAGUCUGUUUAUAGAAUACCUCCUAGGACUGCAUUAUACCUAUACCUUAUUUUUGUUGUUGCUUAUUAAGAUAGUUUCUAAAGUGUCUCUUCUUCCCAAGUAUUCCUCAGACAAUUGGAAGAGAAAUGUUUAUCUUCUCAUCUGUCUAAAUAAACAGCAAUCUCCAAAAUGUCUAACUCAACUCAUUGCUUAUAAUAAGCAUCUGAAACAUUUGUCAUAAAACCAUCCUAACUCAUACUAACUGUGGUAAAAAGAUGAAGACAAGUCUGAUGAAGAGAAAAUAAGAAUUCUAUCUAUAAGACACAAAGUUUUAAAUUUAAAAUCAUUCAACUCAAUAUAACUUGCAGCUAUCAAGUAUUAAAUUAUUUUUCUAAAGACAGCAUCAAAGUUAUGAAUACACUAUCAAUUUUUAUGCUGAGAGAUGCUUCCAGAGUGUGAGAAAGUGCCUUCCUAAAAAAAUUAAAUAUCCUCCUAAAAAUAUUAAAUAUCACUUUAGAAUGUUCACUAUUCAAUUUUCUUAUCUUUUUCUUUCUGAGAAAGUAUAAAAUUAGUUUUUUUAUGUCCAAAGGUGGUGAUUUCUAAGUAAAAAAGAAACCGAGUAUUUAAGUUUUAAUUUAUGACACUGUUGUAUAUGGUGCAUAUUUCAUGUAUUUGUCCACAUCUAUAAUUUUUAUACUUUGUUGUAUCAUCAACACACAGGAUUUCUGAGUUAUGGAACGUGGAUAAGGGUUUAACAAAUAAAUCCUUUUCAAAUUAAUAAUGAUAAUAAUUAUAAUCUUUUUUUCAUCCUUGAAAUCCCAAGUGGUAAAUGCUCCAACAAAAUAUUAUAUAUAGAAAACAGGGUUAUUAUAAACAGAUUAUCUUGAAGGACUAUCAAAAAACAUUACCAUAAUUACAUACUUAAGAACAUAAUUAUAAAAUCUAUUUGAAAUAAUUCAUAUAUUGAUAAUACAGCUGGAAAAUAGAAAUAUUUGGACUGCCCUUUCUGUGAUAAAGAAAUGUCAUGAUCCCUUCCUUAUACCUUACACAAAAAUUAAUUCAAGAUGGAUUAAAGACUUAAAUGUUAGACCUGAAACCAUAAAAACCCUAGAAGAAAAUCUAGGCAAUACCAUUCAGGACAUAGGCAUGAGCAAGGACUUCAUAUCUAAAACACCAAAAUCAAUGGCAACAAAAGCCAAA